rnacentral:lncRNA from 1 species
GAUUUGCUGGUAGACUCUGGUUGCAAUGGUUCAUCAUCAUCAGAAGUUCCAUCCACUCGUCCUCUUGGGUUGAUUUGCGUUACAGUGACCCAUGGAUCGUCUCUGUACGUCACCCGAGGGUAACUGAUGUAGCACACCUAUACAUAUCAAUUAUACAAGUAUUAGUAAAAUAUAUAACAUUAAUUAAUUAUAUUGGUAAAAAAUUAUGAAUAGAUUGACAUACCUGAUCAGCUUGCGAACCAAGAAUGAAGGGAUCAUAAUAUUGAAGUUUCCGCCGCGA